UACGGAGGAUGCGAGCGUUAUCCGGAUUUAUUGGGUUUAAAGGGUGCGCAGGCGGCGCGAUAAGUCAGCGGUAAAAAUUCGGGGCUCAACCCCGUCCGGCCGUUGAAACUGCCGCGCUGGAGUGCGUUGGAGGAAGGCGGAAUGCGUGGUGUAGCGGUGAAAUGCAUAGAUAUCACGCAGAACUCCGAUUGCGAAGGCAGCCUUCCGUGACGCCACUGACGCUGAGGCACGAAAGCGUGGGUAUC
rnacentral:rRNA from 1 species